GAUUAAAAAAGUUCUUCUUGUUGUAAAGUUUUCUUUUCUUUUCUAUCAACUAUUUUCUUCUGUCUUCCCGGUCAGGCUGAGCCCGCUCUGCUACUGUCACCUUCGAAUGGAAUAACUGUGACAGAUGGUAUAAAGAUGGGCAACGUGCAGAUAUCUGAGAUGUCACCAGUAAUGAUGCAGAAGAUCGAGAACUACAACAGCUCAGAUUACCACAUGCCACGGGAAUUUCACAAUCAAAGAGACACAUUAAGAAGCUAUGAGGGGCAGAAUAUCGUGAGUGACUGUACAAACAAAGUCCUGACAAUGAUGUUACGACAUGCUCUGAAUUACUCUAGUCGGCACACCACCUAUUAUUUUCCAAAAGAGGGUGUUAGAACCUGCAUUUUAAAAAAAAGGAUAAAUGUGUGUUGAAUCUGCACAAAACUGAGAGAUGGUGCUGGAAUCUGUAUUUGGCAUACAGUCUGUGGAUUUAUUUUUUCAGUUUGGCACUGUUUCAACACGGUUUCAACAAUUAAAAAUGAAUGAUAACCUGGAGCAGUGCAAUUUAAAUUUUAUCUUAAAAACACACGAC
ensembl:lncRNA